GGGUAGGCCUGAAGCAUGAGGCCUGAACUCACACAGAAAGCCCGUCUUGCUCUGCAGAGGUCAGACCUGACUGUGCUCCUGAGAGGGGUUUCGGGGGUUGUGUGCAGUGGGGACAUUUUUGGAGUCCACGCCAUUUCCAUCUGGUGGUGCUUUACAUGCUUUCCAUUCUCUUUCCAGACCCAGUGAGGUAACUGCUAUUUCAUAAAUUCAGAUGCUGUCUCCCUUGCUGACCAUUUCUUGCUUUUGUCUCUUUGGGCAUCAACUUGGCCCUCUGGUCUCUCCCUCUAGGUGCCUCCCUUUUUUGAAGCCAUUAUCCACACAGCCUGAAAAACACAGCAGGAAGCACCACCAGGGCAUGCAGGUGAGUGGGGCAGGCAAGUGCUUGGCUCCCAAGGUGGAGCUUCCCCACACAGUAUGAGGACGAGAGCAGGCCCCAGUCCUCUGUGGACCACCAUUCCUGGCCAGUGCGUCCUGGGGACCACACAAUUCCGCAAAGGCCACGAGUGCUCCACGCCAAGCACCUGGACUCCUGCGGUGCCCUGGGUGUUUCUCAUCCUUGGGGCAGCUGUGUUCUUCCCACGCCUGAUGCCAAGAGGCCUUGGGGUACCCACUUCACUCCACAUGCAACUUGUGAGCCUCACUUGUGGUCGGGAGAAGAGACAGGU
rnacentral:lncRNA from 1 species